GUGACCUCAAAUCAGGUAGGAUUACCCGCUGAACUUAAGCAUAUCAAUAAGCGGAGGAAAAGAAACUAACAAGGAUUCCCCUAGUAACUGCGAGUGAAGCGGGAAAAGCUCAAAUUUAAAAUCUGUCAGUCUUUGGCUGUCCGAGUUGUAAUCUAGAGAAGUGUUAUCCGCGCUGGACCGUGUACAAGUCUCCUGGAAUGGAGCGUCAUAGAGGGUGAGAAUCCCGUCUCUGACACGGACUACCAGGGCUUUGUGAUGCGCUCUCAAAGAGUCGAGUUGUUUGGGAAUGCAGCUCAAAAUGGGUGGUAAAUUCCAUCUAAAGCUAAAUAUUGGCGAGAGACCGAUAGCGAACAAGUACCGUGAGGGAAAGAUGAAAAGAACUUUGGAAAGAGAGUUAAACAGUACGUGAAAUUGCUGAAAGGGAAACGCUUGAAGUCAGUCGCGUUGUCCAGGGAUCAACCUUGCUUUUGCUUGGUGUACUUUCUGGUUGACGGGUCAGCAUCAAUUUUGAUCAUUGGAAAAAGGUUAAGGGAAUGUGGCAUCUUUGGAUGUGUUAUAGCCCUUGAUUGUAUACAAUGGUUGGGAUUGAGGAACUCAGCACGCCGAAAGGCCGGGUUUUAACCACGUACGUGCUUAGGAUGCUGGCAUAAUGGCUUUAAUCGACCCGUCUUGAAACACGGACCAAGGAGUCUAACAUGCCUGCGAGUGUUUGGGUGGAAAACCCGAGCGCGUAAUGAAAGUGAAAGUUGAGAUCCCUGUCGUGGGGAGCAUCGACGCCCGGACCAGACCUUUUGUGACGGUUCCGCGGUAGAGCAUGUAUGUUGGGACCCGAAAGAUGGUGAACUAUGCCUGAAUAGGGUGAAGCCAGAGGAAACUCUGGUGGAGGCUCGUAGCGAUUCUGACGUGCAAAUCGAUCGUCAAAUUUGGGUAUAGGGGCGAAAGACUAAUCGAACCAUCUAGUAGCUGGUUCCUGCCGA
rnacentral:rRNA from 1 species